UAGAGGCAGAAGCAACAAAAAGAAGCAAUAGGACAAAGCAGAGUCAGGCAAGCGACCCAGGGCAGCAGAGUAGCUGCGGCCGCGCCCGAGCUGAAGAGAGAAGCUGUGGUCGGAGCGGAGCAAGAGAAAGACCGGGCACAUAAGCUGCAACGGCAUGCGGUUUGGCGGUGGAGGAGAAAUAAUCGGGGCUGCAAGAAGGGUGGAGAUCGGGAUCGUUCUGCUGGAGAUGCGGUGCUGGCCAUGCUGGGCCUCGCCACGGCCACACCAUCUCCUGCCCGGCUGCCCUAGCAAAAUGGUGUGGAAAGGAAGGCGUCAACUGGGUGUGAGUGUCUCUUCCGUACUCUGCUCGAGCAAUGCUCAGUCAAAGCGGAGCUCCAAGGAUGGAAUCGGAUGGACGGCCUGGUAAGCUUCUUCUUGCUGAAUAUUUUUUCUAAGCCAACAUACUGUCCAUUCCUCUCUUUAGGGGAAACGAAUUUUGGAAAAAGAGAAGAUAAAGUUUUUCUAUUC